CCUACGGGAGGCAGCAGUGAGGAAUAUUGGUCAAUGGACGAGAGUCUGAACCAGCCAAGUAGCGUGAAGGAUGACUGCCCUAUGGGUUGUAAACUUCUUUUAUAAAGGAAUAAAACGAGGCACGUGUGCCUGUUUGCAUGUACUUUAUGAAUAAGGAUCGGCUAACUCCGUGCCAGCAGCCGCGGUAAUAAGGAGGAUCCGAGCGUUAUCCGGAUUUAUUGGGUUUAAAGGGAGCGUAGAUGGGUUGUUAAGUCAGUUGUGAAAGUUUGCGGCUCAACCGUAAAAGUGAAAUUGAUACUGGCAGUCUUGAGUACAGUUGAGGUAGGCGGAAUUCGUGGUGUAGCGGUGAAAUGCUUAGAUAUCACGAAGAACCCCGAUUGCGAAGGCAGCUUACUAAACUGUGACUGACAUUGAUGCUCGAAAGUGUGGGUAUCAAACAGGAUUAGAUACCCUUGUAGUC
rnacentral:rRNA from 1 species